rnacentral:rRNA from 1 species
UACGGAGGAUCCAAGCGUUAUCCGGAUUAUUGGGUUUAAAGGGUGCGUAGGCGGCCUGUUAAGUCAGGGGUGAAAGACGGUGGCUCAACCAUCGCAGUGCCCUUGAUACUGAUGGGCUUGAAUACACCUGAGGUAGGCGGAAUGUGACAAGUAGCGGUGAAAUGCAUAGAUAUGUCACAGAACACCAAUUGCGAAGGCAGCUUACUAUGGUUUAUUGACACUGAGGCACGAAAGCCGUGGGGAUCAAACAGG